GCAAAGAAAAUAUUGAAGAUGUCU
rnacentral:siRNA from 1 species